CCCCCAAAUCACACACCAGUUGCCUCCCCAGAUCUUCGAUUGACGCCAUCUCCUCUCCGCCAGUCGCCGGACCACCUCCUCAGCAACGCCGAACCACUAGAUUUGUGUCGUUGAACCGGUUUGGGUCAUUUGCACCACCCCGCGGUCUGACUGAUGAUGAUAGCCAGGCUCAGUGGUUCGUUGAUGGUCGUUCAGCUUUUGAUGCAAUUGCUUUAGUGAUUGAAGAGGCCAAAUCCGAGUGAUGAAGAUGACUUGAUAUUUAUGUGCGGGUGGUGGUUGUGCCCAGAUCUUUAUUUGCGGCGGCCUUUUCAUACCAAUGCGUCUUCUCGCCUUGAUAGUUUACUGGAGGCAAAAGCCAAGCAAGGGGUUCAGAUUUAAUCCUGAUUUACAGAGAGCUUGCUCUUGCUCUUACUCUGAAUAUUAAUAGUUUUUAUAGUAAGAAAAAGCUCGGCACUUCACGAGAACAUAAGAGUUCUACGUCAUCCGGAUCAUUUCUCUAGUAGUGUCUAUCUAUGGUAACUUGGUCUCAUCAUGAGAAACUGGUUAGCCCAGCAGGCGGCCUCGCUUUCCAUUUUCUUUAAAAAAAAUCAAAAUAUGAACCUCUAGUUUCCGACAUGCUAAUGAGAGGGUUAGUUGAUGAGCAAGGGAGGUUGAAUGUAACAACGUGCACCCUACCAUGAAGUCGUGUGAUCGAGAAUGGUGGGAGACACAGGAACGAGGUAACCAAGUUGUUUCAUGAGAUGAAACGGGACAGGUUGGUCCUCGUGUCACAUGUCGCUGCCAGGUCAACUUUAUUAGAUCCCUAACAUAUGUACAUUAAUAUUUGUAUACCAUUGAUAUGUUUUAAAAUUUAAUAAUUUGGUUAUAAUUCUUCAUAGGUUAUAAGGAGUGUGAGUCUGUGGUCAGUUGAAUUGUAUUAACUUAUGUCCACUAACAAUCAGAAUAUCACAGUCGAACUUACUUUUACUAUGAUACUUCUCUUGCAAAAGCAAGUUAU
rnacentral:lncRNA from 1 species